UGUGGGAGCGAGCCUGCUCGCGAUGACGGCGUGUCAGUCAACAUUGAACUGGCUGAUCUGACGCUAUCGCGAGCAGGCUCGCUCCCACA
rnacentral:misc_RNA from 1 species